rnacentral:rRNA from 1 species
GACGAACGCUGGCGGCGUGCUUAACACAUGCAAGUCGAACGAAAAGGCGCGGCGUUUGUGGGGUGGUCGAGUGGCGAACGGGGGAGUAACACGUGAGGAACCUGCCCUUGACUGUGGGAGAACUUCAGGAAACUGGGGCGAAUACCCGAUAGGAGCUCCUGCUCCGUGUUGUGGGUUGGAAAGUGUCGGCGGUGGGAGAUGGACUCGAGGGUUAUCAGCUGGUUGGUGGAGUAGUGGCGUACGAAGGCUUUGACGGGUAGGCGGCCUGAGAGCGUGACCGGCGACAUUGGGACUGCGGUACGCACCAGACUCGUACGGGACGCAGCAGUGGGGAACCUUGCACAAUGGCGGGACGUCUGAUGCAGCAACGCCGCGUGCGGGAUGCCCGCCUUCGGGUUGUGAACAGCUUUCGCCUGUGCCGAAGCCUUAGUGACGGUACUGGGUCAAGAAGCCACGGCUAACUACGUG